GUACAAGCAGUGGGAGCACCCUUCGGGGUGUGACUGCGUACCUUUUGUAUAAUGGGUCAGCGACUUAUAUUCUGUAGCAAGGUUAACCGAAUAGGGGAGCCGGAGGGAAACCGAGUCUUAAUUGGGCGUUAAGUUGCAGGGUAUAGACCCGAAACCCGGUGAUCUAGCCAUGGGCAGGUUGAAGGUUGGGUAACACUAACUGGAGGACCGAACCGACUAAUGUUGAAAAAUUAGCGGAUGACCUGUGGCUGGGGGUGAAAGGCCAAUCAAACCGGGAGAUAGCUGGUUCUCCCCGAAAGCUAUUUAGGUAGCGCCUCGUGAAUUCAUCUCCGGGGGUAGAGCACUGUUUCGGCUAGGGGGCCAUCCCGGCUUACCAACCCGAUGCAAACUGCGAAUACCGGAGAAUGUUAUCACGGGAGACACACGGCGGGUGCUAACGUCCGUCGUGAAGAGGGAAACAACCCAGACCGCCAGCUAAGGUCCCAAAGUCAUGGUUAAGUGGGAAACGAUGUGGGAAGGCCCAGACAGCCAGGAUGUUGGCUUAGAAGCAGCCAUCAUUUAAAGAAAGCGUAAUAGCUCACUGGUCGAGUCGGCCUGCGCGGAAGAUGUAACGGGGCUAAACCAUGCACCGAAGCUGCGGCAGCGACACUGUGUGUUGUUGGGUAGGGGAGCGUUCUGUAAGCCUGUGAAGGUGUGUCGUGAGGCAUGCUGGAGGUAUCAGAAGUGCGAAUGCUGACAUAAGUAACGAUAAAGCGGGUGAAAAGCCCGCUCGCCGGAAGACCAAGGGUUCCUGUCCAACGUUAAUCGGGGCAGGGUGAGUCGACCCCUAAGGCGAGGCCGAAAGGCGUAGUCGAUGGGAAACGGGUUAAUAUUCCCGUACUUGGUGUUACUGCGAAGGGGGGACGGAGAAGGCUAUGUUGGCCGGGCGACGGUUGUCCCGGUUUAAGCGUGUAGGUGUGUGUUCCAGGUAAAUCCGGUUCACUUUAACACUGAGGCGUGACGACGAGGCACUACGGUGCUGAAGCAACAAAUGCCCUGCUUCCAGGAAAAGCCUCUAAGCAUCAGGUAACAUCAAAUCGUACCCCAAACCGACACAGGUGGUCAGGUAGAGAAUACCAAGGCGCUUGAGAGAACUCGGGUGAAGGAACUAGGCAAAAUGGUGCCGUAACUUCGGGAGAAGGCACGCUGACACGUAGGUGAAGUGAUUUACUCAUGGAGCUGAAGUCAGUCGAAGAUACCAGCUGGCUGCAACUGUUUAUUAAAAACACAGCACUGUGCAAACACGAAAGUGGACGUAUACGGUGUGACGCCUGCCCGGUGCCGGAAGGUUAAUUGAUGGGGUCAGCGCAAGCGAAGCUCCUGAUCGAAGCCCCGGUAAACGGCGGCCGUAACUAUAACGGUCCUAAGGUAGCGAAAUUCCUUGUCGGGUAAGUUCCGACCUGCACGAAUGGCGUAAUGAUGGCCAGGCUGUCUCCACCCGAGACUCAGUGAAAUUGAACUCGCUGUGAAGAUGCAGUGUACCCGCGGCAAGACGGAAAGACCCCGUGAACCUUUACUAUAGCUUGACACUGAACAUUGAGCCUUGAUGUGUAGGAUAGGUGGGAGGCUUUGAAGCGUGGACGCCAGUCUGCGUGGAGCCGACCUUGAAAUACCACCCUUUAAUGUUUGAUGUUCUAACGUGGACCCGU
rnacentral:rRNA from 1 species